rnacentral:rRNA from 1 species
GAUGAAGCCCUUCGGGGUGGAUUAGUGGCGAACGGGUGAGUAACACGUGGGCAAUCUGCCCUUCACUCUGGGACAAGCCCUGGAAACGGGGUCUAAUACCGGAUACCACUCCUGCCUGCAUGGGCGGGGGUUGAAAGCUCCGGCGGUGAAGGAUGAGCCCGCGGCCUAUCAGCUUGUUGGUGGGGUAAUGGCCCACCAAGGCGACGACGGGUAGCCGGCCUGAGAGGGCGACCGGCCACACUGGGACUGAGACACGGCCCAGACUCCUACGGGAGGCAGCAGUGGGGAAUAUUGCACAAUGGGCGAAAGCCUGAUGCAGCGACGCCGCGUGAGGGAUGACGGCCUUCGGGUUGUAAACCUCUUUCAGCAGGGAAGAAGCGAAAGUGACGGUACCUGCAGAAGAAGCGCCGGCUAACUACGUGCCAGCAGCCGCGGUAAUACGUAGGGCGCAAGCGUUGUCCGGAAUUAUUGGGCGUAAAGAGCUCGUAGGCGGCUUGUCACGUCGGAUGUGAAAGCCCGAGGCUUAACCUCGGGUCUGCAUUCGAUACGGGCUAGCUAGAGUGUGGUAGGGGAGAUCGGAAUUCCUGGUGUAGCGGUGAAAUGCGCAGAUAUCAGGAGGAACACCGGUGGCGAAGGCGGAUCUCUGGGCCAUUACUGACGCUGAGGAGCGAAAGCGUGGGGAGCGAACAGGAUUAGAUACCCUGGUAGUCCACGCCGUAAACGUUGGGAACUAGGUGUUGGCGACAUUCCACGUCGUCNGUGCCGCAGCUAACGCAUUAAGUUCCCCGCCUGGGGAGUACGCCGCAAGGCUAAAACUCAAAUGAAUUUGACGGGG